rnacentral:rRNA from 1 species
CCUACGGGAGGCUGCAGUAGGGAAUCUUCCACAAUGGACGAAAGUCUGAUGGAGCAACGCCGCGUGUGUGAUGAAGGGUUUCGGCUCGUAAAACACUGUUGUAAGAGAAGAAUGACAUUGAGAGUAACUGUUCAGUGUGUGACGGUAUCUUACCAGAAAGGAACGGCUAAAUACGUGCCAGCAGCCGCGGUAAUACGUAUGUUCCAAGCGUUAUCCGGAUUUGUUGGGCGUAAAGCGAGCGCAGACGGUUGGGUGAGGCGGAGGUGAAAGCCGACAGGUUAACUGUUGAAGUGCGUUGGAAGCUGGAUAAGGUGAGUGCGGUGGAGGGGGGUGGAGCUCCAUGUGUGGCGGUGAAGUGCGUAGAUAUAUGGAAGAACACCAGUGGCGAAGGCGGCUCUCUGGACUGUAACUGACGUUGAGGCUCGAAAGUAUGGGUAGCAAACAGGAUUAGAUACCCUAGUAGUC